CCCUCCUCUUCCACGUCUUCUCCACACUGCAGCAGCACUACCAUGAAAUCCGCAUUAAUGGGUUCUCUCAAAUUCCAAAUCCCACAACUAGGCUUCCACAAAACCCUACAAAAACCCCACCUUCCUCGUUCCUCAGUCAUCACCUGCAGUCUAAGAGGGAAGCCAAGACCACCUUUGUGGAGGGCAAAGAGGUUAUCCACGGAAGCCAUUCAAGUUAUCCAGUCUCUCAAGUUAGCUAGAUCGUCCACACCAAGAUUAGAAGAAGUCUUUAACAGUAAGCUCUCAAGAUUGCUCAAGACUGACUUAUUGGAUACCCUUGCUGUCUUGCAAAACCAAAAUGAGUUGGACUUGGCCCUCAAGGUGUUUGAGUUUGUGAGGAAGGAGGUGUGGUACAAGCCAGAUAUAUUAUUGUAUCAUGCAAUGAUUCAGAUGGUGGGGAGGAACAAAAUGGUUGAAAUGGCUGAGGAAUUUUUUGGCAAAUUGGAAAAAGAAGAAGGGUUGAAACCGGAUACAAGAGCAUUCACUGAGAUGAUUGGUGCUUAUCUGCAAGUGGGUAUGAUUGAUAAGGCGAUGGAAACAUAUGAAAGAAUGAAGGCAUCAGGAUGUGACCCGGAUAAGUUAACUUUUAGAAUUUUGAUUAGGAACCUUGAGGAUGCUGGAAAAGAAGAGCUUGUAGAUCGUAUAAAGAAAGAAUGUGGUGAUUAUAUGGAUUAUCCUAAGAAAUUCCUUGAAGAAGUUGAGAGAAAGAAAAAUUAGUUGUGCAAAGUAGCAGAUAAGAGCCUGAAUCCUGAUUGUUGCUGGCUUUUGCACUUCAUUUUUAUUUUACUUUUUUCCAACUGCAACUUUAUGUUGACUGUGAACUGCAUAACUGAAGUAAAGAGGCUGGUGGUCGAUUUUUUUUGAAGAUUUCCAGUGCUUAGAAUGGAAAGGUCGUCGUGGCUGAUUUGCAGUACUGUGUACUUAAAUGUCAGAAGGCUAGGAACUUUGCUGCCAGUUCCUUUGAGGCAGAUUUGAUUUGUACAUUGUUAAAGCUGCAGAGUAGACGAGCUCAUGCAAGUUGUUAAAAGAACAAAGCAUUAGAAUAGUUGAGGAA